CUACCAUGGCUUUCACGGGUAACGGAGGAUUAGGGUUCGAUUCCGGAGAGGGAGCCUGAGAAACGGCUACCACAUCUAAGGAAGGCAGCAGGCGCGUAAAUUACCCAAUCCUGACUCAGGGAGGUAGUGACAAGAAAUAACGAGCAGUGACUUCUGUUACUGAAUUGCAAUGAGCCGAAUUUACACCACUUAGUGAGGAUCGAUUGGAGGGCCAGUCUGGUGCCAGCAGCCGCGGUAAUUCCAGCUCCAAUAGCGUAUAUUAAAGUUGUUGCAGUUAAAAAGCUCGUAGUUGGACUUCUGGCAGGGCGCCGCGUGCCACAGUAGUGCGCACAAGGGCCCGGCCAUCCUUCUGUAAACGUCGGGGCAGUUUAUUCGGCCGCGGCGGGAUCAGUUAAUUUACCUUGAGAAAAUUAGAGUGUUUCAGGCAGGCGUAGCCGGAAUACAUUAGCAUGGAAUAAUGGAAUAGGACUUAGUCUCUUUGUUGGUUCGAGGGACUGGAGUAAUGAUUAAUAGGGAUAGUUGGGGGCAUCAGUAUUUAUUAGCUAGAGGUGGAAUUCUCUAAUUUGAUAAAGACUAACUUAUGCGAAAGCAUUUGCCAAGGAUGUUUUCAUUAAUCAA
rnacentral:rRNA from 1 species